rnacentral:rRNA from 1 species
AUUGAACGCUGGCGGCAGGCCUAACACAUGCAAGUCGAACGGUAACAGGAAGAAGCUUGCUUCUUUGCUGACGAGCGGCGGACGGGUGAGUAGUGUCUGGGAAACUGCCUGAUGGAGGGGGAUAACUACUGGAAACGGUAGCUAAUACCGCAUAACGUCGCAAGACCAAAGAGGGGGACCUUCGGGCCUCUUGCCAUCGGAUGUGCCCAGAUGGGAUUAGCUAGUAGGUGGGGUAACGGCUCACCUAGGCGACGAUCCCUAGCUGGUCUGAGAGGAUGACCAGCCACACUGGAACUGAGACACGGUCCAGACUCCUACGGGAGGCAGCAGUGGGGAAUAUUGCACAAUGGGCGCAAGCCUGAUGCAGCCAUGCCGCGUGUAUGAAGAAGGCCUUCGGGUUGUAAAGUACUUUCAGCGGGGAGGAAGGGAGUAAAGUUAAUACCUUGACUCAUUGACGUUACCCGCAGAAGAAGCACCGGCUAACUCCGUG